UGGGGAAUAUUGCACAAUGGGCGCAAGCCUGAUGCAGCCAUGCCGCGUGUAUGAAGAAGGCCUUCGGGUUGUAAAGCACUUUCAGCGGGGAGGAAGGCGUUAAGGUUAAUAACCUUGGCGAUUGACGUUACCCGCAGAAGAAGCACCGGCUAACUCCGUGCCAGCAGCCGCGGUAAUACGGAGGGUGCAAGCGUUAAUCGGAAUUACUGGGCGUAAAGCGCACGCAGGCGGUUUGUUAAGUCAGAUGUGAAAUCCUCGGGCUCAACCUGGGAACUGCAUCUGAUACUGGCAAGCUUGAGUCUCGUAGAGGGGGGUAGAAUUCCAGGUGUAGCGGUGAAAUGCGUAGAGAUCUGGAGGAAUACCGGUGGCGAAGGCGGCCCCCUGGACGAAGACUGACGCUCAGGUGCGAAAGCGUGGGGAGCAAACAGG
rnacentral:rRNA from 1 species